UAAAGUAUGGAUUCUUGGAAAAUUCACAUUUAAUAAAGUAUGGAUUCUUGGAAAAUUCACAUUUAAAUCUUUCAUUGAAUUUUUCUUAAGGUGAGUCGCCUGCCGGUCGGUCCUUCGCGCCUUACUUUAAUAUGUUUCCAUCUUUGAAAACUCGAUAAAUUUAUUUGGGAAUUAAUUAAUUAAGGUUCAAGCUCAAAUUCCUUAAAUUAAUUCCAAGCUCACAUAAAUAAUUCUCGGCUCAAAUAUUUAAUCUCAGCCCAACUUCUCAAUUAAAAUUGGUCCAUGCUCCAUUCUCCUUUAAAACAUUUAGGACCAUUUCACCACUAAUUCCAUUGAGUCCAUCUAACUAAUUAAGUCAGCCACCACUUCAAAUAAUUACUAAAGCCCAACUAAAAUAAAUAAGGUGGCCCAAUAAAGAAAAAAAAAGUGUCCAAUUAUGCUACUUCCUUCUCCAUCGUCAUUUCCCCCAAAUUCCCUUUCCAAUUAAAAUCCCUAAUCUAGAAAUGAAGCGAAGCAGCGGCGCCUCCAUCUUUUCCUCACGGUUCUUCGCCGUUUCAAUCGAUCGCCGAAAUCCGAUGGCGUAUACUUUCUCCUCACGCCUCUCUCUUUCCUCCGUCGUCUCCGGUGAAUCAACGCCCACCGUGAUCCCUUUCUCCUCCGCGAAUUAAUUGGUGGAGAGGAGGCGUCGCCUCUCUCCCACGGCGUUGCCCUUGGUGAGCAGUCGUCCCCGGCGGCCGCCUUUCGCUGUUGCUCCAGCGGCGAAGUCACCAAUCGAGGGGAAAGGCGCCUAGAUCGUGGAACUCAGGUUCGUCAUCGCGCCUACGUCGUCAGCCUCGGCGAGUGAAGCCGCUGACCGCCCCGCCUCGCCUCUGCUGCGUCGGCAAUCGCUUCGUCGCCGGACAGCCUAAAGCUAAGUUCUUUAUACAACUUCUUUUAAUUUGUUUGGCAGUAGCUUAUGUUUUGAGAUGAAGUCUUGUACAUGCUAAUGUUGUGGGAAUCUAUGGAGCUCUAUGUUCUCUAAGUUCUUGGCUAAACCAUGUUGUUCUACAAUGAUGCAAGAGGGAUUUGUUGAGGGGGUUACCUCUCGAACUUGUAGCUUGAAUCUCUAGUUUCCAAAAUUCUCAAAGUUUACUCUCUCUUUGAAGCUCCUAUGGGUGUGGGAGUUGUCUGCAAGAACUCUGCAGAAACUCUACUCCAAGCCCUCACUCUCAAACUUGCCAUUGUGGCUGAAAAUUCAAAGUGUAUGAGAAAGGGAGUUCGAAUGUGGUGUGGAGUUAUUUAUAGGCGAAGUGUGGUGUACCCGUGAGGCCUUAAAUGGUUGUUGUACCAUUUGUUGUUAUGCUGCAGCAAAUCUCACUUUUAGAGAUCACAUUGCCUCUCCUUUAUGGCUGCAACUUGGUAUUUUAUGGGUACCUAGUACUAGUUAGUAAUUGGAAUUGUUUGAUUGUGCAGAGAAGCAGGUGGCUGUUGUGCCAAAGGAGCUGCAGGGCUGACUUGCCUCUUAUGGUGAUUCUUUGGUCAUCUAUAACUAAAGAAAAGUUGUCUCCAUCCCUAUGGUCGAGAAAAACUUGGUUGCCAAGCUGCUGACCGGGACAGCUUGAUACCCCGGCCCAACGGCUGAUCGGAAAACGGCCGCAACUUUCGGCCCGGAAAAAGAGACCCGAUGCCAUUUGUUCCAUACACAUUUAUCUUUCCCUUUCUUUGUUUCCUUUAUUGGAAGCCUUGUUCUAAGUAUUGUAGUAUUUUGAAGAUUAGUUGUUCGUUUAUUGAGUAAGAAUUGCUAUUCGAAAAUUCCUGACAUUCUACAAUGUAAAUUCCAAUUGUUUAGUUCAUUUGAUUUUCACUUCAA